CCUCCCCUGGCGGCUUGCUACUUCCUAACUCCCUGCAGCCCCUGGCUCAGGCACAUGCUUUCCUGACUGCUAUCCGGGACAGUGUUGCCACUGAGCUCAGCUAAAAAAGUGCUUUUUAAAAUUUUUUGGACUCUGUCAUUUUUCUACCCCUAUCAUUUGGAGGCUCAUUCAGGAUCCCACAUUUUACAGGAUUUAUCCUCACCCUGGGCUCCUACUCUUCGGAUGACAUCAGGACCUCUUUGAAUGUGGCUUCCUUCUACUGGCAAGUACUUAUUACUUUCAUUUUGCUCUGUGAUUUUCUCCUUUCUAUGACUUGGGGAGUCAAGUUUUCAGGCUUGCUCCCAUUUGGGCAGAGUCGCCAAAAUUGGGGCAGAUUACUGCCGUUUGAGGGAGGAAUUGACCUCCGCUGGGUGCACCACACACUUGGGGAGUCAAGUGCUCAGACUUGCUCCCAUUUGGGCCAAAAUCUUGUCUUAGCUCUCCUAUAUUUUUGUCUUCUUGUUCUGUCCCUGAUUCAUCUAUUACUGAGAAUUCUUACAAUUUAAGCCGGACCUAGUAUGUAAACUGCCUCCUAUAGUUUUUAUAUCAGCUGAUUAACUUGAAUUAACUAAAUUAGAUUUUUUUUUUUGGUGGGGCUAUUUGGGUUACUCGGUUGAAAAGCAUGCUCUUCAUGCUAGACUGCAGCUGCAAACUGGUUAAAUUCCUGGGACAGUUCUACCAUUAGCAAGCAGGGGAGUGGCCACCUGGCGAUUUUAACCAGUGGUUGCAAAGUGAGAACCUGCUCCAGUUGUUACAGCUUUUUGGACAGCUCUCCGUCUCUGGGGCGGGCCUCUGCCAUCUUGUCUUUGCUCCCUUCUCUGCACCCCUUGUCUCGCGUGUCUAUUAUGGGCCAACCAGCUUCCUCCCUUUUGUACCCUUGCAACUCGUUCUUAAUCAUUUUAAAGAUUUUAAGAAUUGAGCUGCCGGACAUGGAAAUCCUGUCUCCUCUAAGAAACUAAGAACAUUCUGUGAACUUGAAUGGCCUUCCUUUGAUGUUGAGUGGCUUUCACAGUCUCUCAACACGUCCGCCAAGUCAUUUUUGGACCCUCACAUAACCCAGCCACACAUUCCGAUCAGGUGGGCUCUACUGAAGUUUGGAUUGACCUGAUCCAGGACACCCUUCAUGGAUAAGAAAAUUCGGAUGAGAAGGGGCACAAUCUCUUCUUGUGGCAAUGAUGAAAACUAAGGUGUCACCUCCUCCUGCUAUUCUCCCUCCUCCCGAUGAUGAUGAUUCCCCUCCUCCUUCCUGGCCCCCUACUUACCACCCUGAUUUCCCAAGCUCAUCAGAACUGUCCCCCAUGGACCCCUAGCCCUCCCAGUCCACCCUGCACCCGCAGCCGUUGCCCCCCACCAUCCCCCUCUCUCCCUCCAUGCCUAUCCCUGACUCCACUGAACCACCCUCCAUUCUACCCCUCCAAGAAGUCCCUCCCUUGGACUCCUCUCAGGGAUCUAUUUUCACCUAUGUCCCCUUCUCUACUAGUGAUUUAUACAAUUAGAAAUUACAGAAUCUGCCUUUCUCUAAGGACUCUCAGGCUAUAAUAUCUCUCCUUGAGACCAUUUGUUUCAUCCAUCGGCCAACCUGGGAUGACUGCCAACAGCUGUUGCAGACUCUAUUCACAUCCUAGGAAUGCGAAUGGAUUCGUACCUUGGCACGCUGAUCGGUCCUCAACACUAACAGGGAACCCACUUCGGACUUAAUGAGGCUCAAUGCUGUUUUCCCUUUGACCUGCCCUAACUGGGACCCCAACACGGAUGGAGGUAAGGAGCCUCUCGAUUGCUACCAUCAGACUCUUCUUGUGGCACUCUGAGGUGCCACCCGAAAGCCGACCAACUUAUCAAAAGUAACUGAGGUAAGACAAUUGGCUUCUCAGUCUCCGUUGGCUUUCCUUGAGUACCUCUAGAGGCCUAUUGUGUAUAUAUAUACACCUAUAGACCCAGAGGCACCAGAGAAUAGACGAGCUAUUGACAUAGUAUUCAUCUCUCAGUAGGCCCCUGAUAUUAAAUGAAAGUUGUAAAAAUUAGAGGAUUUUGAAGGGAUGAUGAUAGGUCAGUUGAUAGAUAGUUUCAAAAGGUCUUUGACAACAGGGAAGACCCGGAAGACAAGAAAUUGACCAAGAUCCUGGCUAUCCUAGCAGAAGGCCAUACUCAAGGUAAAAAGGAAAAAGACCAAUAAACGAGGGCUCCACUAGACAAAAAUCAAUGUGCAUACUUCAAAGAAUUGGGCUACUGGAAAAAGAAUUGUCCAAAAUUAUAGGCCAAAUUGGAGAAAGGGGAAAUCAGCCCUGGGGUCCUAUUGGAAAAAGAUUGACAAUUUCAGGGUUUGUCCACUUCUGCUGUUCAUUGCAGAUCAGCAUGAGAUAGCAAACGGGAUAUUGACUCACAUGUUAGGACCAUGGUGCCACCCAAUUGCUUUUCUCUCAAAAAGGUUAGACUCAGUUUCUUUGGGCUAGCCAAAUUGCCUGCAAGCCAUCGCAGCCACUGCUUUGAUAGUAAAAGAGGCAAAUAAACUAACUUUUGGACAGAAACUCUAAGUUGUGGCUCCUCAUGCAAUUGAAACCCUCCUCAGGGUCCCACUCAACAGAUGGCUCUCAAACAUGAGGAUUGUACAACACCAGGCCCUCUUGCUUAACUCUGACCUUAUUGAAUUCAAAGAGAUUACUGUCUUAAAUCCAGCAACCUUGCUGCUAGAUGAUGACCCACAGGUACCCAUCCAUGAUGGCAUGGACUGGCUCUCUACCACUACCAGUGUUCGUCAAGACCUUACUUCCAUUAGAGAAUCCAGAUGUUGAAUAUUUCACCAAUAGCAGCAGCUUCCUUUUGAAGUCCCUACAGGUUCUUCAACCUGUGCUGACUUCCGUCCACCAACUCUUUCGAGACCACCAAGUAGGCCACAUGCACCAGAGAGACCCCUCUGGCUACAAGCCCAGGAGAUCCAAUGCUACUUAAGCGACGUUCCUGCAACUCUUCUCUUGAACCUUGCUGGACUGGACCAUACACUGUUGUCCUCAGCACCCCUACAACUGCAAAAGUAGCAGAAAACCUACCUGGAUAUAUCAUUCUCACAUCAAGGUUAUCUCACCAGAUGCCCAGGGAACUGUGGACUGUCACACGGACUGAGAACCCCCUUAAACUUAAAUUGUCAAAAUGCUCUUGACAAUCCUCUUUGCUUGUCAUAUACAGCUUGCUUUGUUAGCCAGCCAUAAUCCAACCCAUUCUUACCUUAAAAAAUGUUCACGGUAAUAAAACUUAUGUCAGAU